rnacentral:lncRNA from 1 species
CAGGAGAGAGUUCAAUGCAAAGAACUCCAUUCUUCCCUUCUCCCAGGGUGAGGAUAACACCAUAAAUGUGCUUUCCAGAGGCACAUUUUUAGCACUGUCUCUGGAUAAGUUUAAUUAGAGAGAAGAGACUAUCAUGAAAAACUUUUAUUCAGUGACCUAGAACCAAAGAAAAUGAGAAUGACCAGAAAAGGGACAGUUGGUAUUCAGUUAUUUGAUUCUUGUUCUUGUUGGCUUUUUGGAUCCUCUCCUCUGUCGACUUUUCCAUGGAUGCACUUUUACAUGCUGCAGAACUGAGUUUCCACCUAUUUUCUGUAACCAUCUUAUGUAAACGCAGUUUCAGCCAGAAGCAAAGAAAAAGUCAUAAGAUCAGCAAGAAGAGAAACUGUAGAUUUGCCUCAACUCAACAUGUUAAGUAAUCGCCUGACAUCUACAUAAGACCACCUCUUGGCACCUGGCUACACAAGCUGAAAUGGUUGUCUUUGGAAAAAGAAUAGACAUUCAUGGCAGACCAAAGAUCACUCUCUGAAGGUGUUAUGUGAGAAAUCCACACAGGAGAAACCCAAGAAAACCACGCAGGUAAAUGCUAGCCUGGAAAGACAGAGGGAAAACAUGCCAAGUGGAGCCCACCACAAGGACAGCAGUCAGAGCCCAAGAGCCCAGCUUUAAAAGGUGAAUGGUUAAACAAAUUGUGGUACAUUCCUACAAUGAAAUACUACUCAGCAAUAAGAAGGAAUAGACUGUUGAUACGUUCAACAAGUUGGGUGAAUCUCAAAGACACUAUGCUGAGUAAAAGAAGCCAUCUCAAAAGGGCUGCAUACCAAAAGGAACAAAAGCACAAAACAAACAAACAAACAAACAAACAAGCAAAUGAUGGUGGAAACUAUUUUCAAAACUUCCCUGUUCUGGUAAAGACGUUUUCAGAGCUCAAACUAGUCCUGCUGAAAAUAUUUUUUAAAAUAUGAAAGCAUAGCGGAAAAUUUGUAUGAAAAAGAAAAAAGAAAAAGAAGGAGGAGGAAGAAGAAGAAGAAAGAAGAAAAAGGAGAGGAAGAAGAAGAAGGAGGAGGAGGAGAAGAAGAGGAGGAGGAGGAGGAGGAAAUGGCAGAGACAAUGUAUGUCCCAGAAAGCCUAAAAUGUGUACUGUUUGUCCGUUUAUAGAAAAAGUGUGCCAGUCCCUACUCUGUUCCCAAUUUUAAAAACAAAUAAAUAAAAAGAAAAACAAGCAAGUCUCUCAGCCAAGAAAGAAUCGAUGGGAACUUUUUCAACUUUAUAAAGUGGAUCUACAAAAAACUACAACUAACACUAACGUCACACCUAAUGGUGAAAGUCUGAAUGUUUUCCCUCUAAGACUAGGAAAAGGUGGCAUGGAUGUCCACUCUCCCUACUCUAUUCAGCAUUGUAUCAAAAGUUCUUAUCAGUGAAAUAAGACAAGAAAACAAUAAAUGGCAUCCAUAUUGGAAAAGAAGUAACACUGUCUUUAUUUGCAGAUGACAUUAUAAUCUAAAUAGAAAAUCUUAUGGAAUCUGCUAAAAAGCUAAUAGAACCAAUAAGCGAGUUUAGCAUAGUUACAAGACACAACAUAUAAAAAUUAAUUAUAUUUCAAAAUACUAGCAAUGAACAAUUAAAUUUUCCUUUUAAAAUUUUCAACAACAUCAAGACAUGAACCACUGGGGGAUAAACCCCAUGAAACAUGGCAGAAAAAAAUUCAGGAA